UGUCUUGUAAUUGGAAUGAUGGGAAUUUAAACCCCUUCCAGAGUAUCAAUUGGAGGGCAAGUCUGGUGCCAGCAGCCGCGGUAAUUCCAGCUCCAAUAGCGUAUAUUAAACUUGUUGCAGUUAAAAAGCUCGUAGUUGAAUUUCUGCUGCAUCGUGGUUCUUCGCUAUGUCGAGUGAUCUUCGUUGUGGCUUAGUUGGGGCAUGUUUUCAUGACUCGACGUUUACUUUGAGAAAAUUAGAGUGCUUCAAGCAGGCUUUUGCCUUGAAUACUUUAGCAUGGAAUAAUGGAGUAGGACUUUGGUUCUAUUUUGUUGGUUUUAGGAGCCGGAGUAAUGGUUAAUAGGAACAGUUGGGGGCAUUCGUAUUUGACUGUCAGAGGUGAAAUUCUUAGAUUUGUCAAAGACGAACUACUGCGAAAGCAUUUGCCAAGGAUGUUUCCAUUAAUCAAGAACGAAAGUUAGGGGAUCGAAGACGAUCAGAUACCGUCGUAGUCCUAACCAUAAACUA
rnacentral:rRNA from 1 species